UUUUUUUUUGUGCUAGCACGCAUAGCAUUCAGCAGCUUCCAGUCGGUGUACAGCAACAACAAUUGAUUAAAAAAGCAAUAGCAAGCAACAAAUCCCCACUGAGCGCCCAGUGACUGCCCCUCCUACACUUCGCCAUUCAUCUCGUCCUCACCACCCAGCGCCGAUCUUCCCCCUCCUCUACCUCACCAUCAAGCGCUCCUCCUCCUUCUCUUCUCCAUCCACCUCACCACCCAGCCACUUCCCGGCUGCCAAAGGUGGCGCGGGAAAUUCUGGCAGCGCCGGUGUGUGUGUUUGCUGCUGCGGCUGGGGUGGCGGCGGCCUGAUCGUCGGCUCACGGGGGCCGGAGCGGAGUACCGCUGCCGUGGUGGUGGAGCCCCUCCCGGUGGGUGGCUGGGAGCGACGGCGGGCUGCAGGGCUGGCGUGCAGUGGCGGCUCGGUUGCUCGCCAGAUCUGGCAGCCGGCCAGCACGCUCGGGGGCUGGUUGGACCUAUGGCGGAGGCGAGGGAGGAGGUCUGGUGGUGCUGCUCGUCUGCCGGUGGCGGAAGGAUUCUGGGGCGGCUUGGGUGAAAUCACCAAGUUUUCUCUUCCGUGAGCUCUUCUCUGUACCAUCGUUGGCCAUCUCUGUAUGAAUCAAUAUGGCAAAAUUAGCUCGACCUAUCUAUUAGGCUGGGCACACCAUGGCUGCACCAAUUUUUUCUGUAUCCCCAGAUCAGCCCUCUCUCCUUCUUUAGGAUUAUUAGGACUUGGGGUAGGCGUAGGCGCUGGGACCGGCGGCGAGCGGCGGCAUGGUAAGGGUGCGGCGCGCUAGAGGUGGAAGAUGGGAUUGGAUCGUGGGUCGUGCGGCUAGAGAGCCGCCAUCCUCCCAGCAAGGCUAGGACCGGCGGAGGCCGAGCGGCGGACUGGUUUGGUUUGUGGUGGUCGUCGACUUGCCGGAGAGGGGCGAGGUGGUGGUCCUCGACUCGCCGAAGAGGGAGGGGGGAGGAGGAGCUGCGGCACGGUCGUCGGGUGAUGGGGUGCGAUGGUGGCGGUUGAGAGGACAGGAUAAGGAAGGGACGUGCGGCUGGUGUUUUCGCUAGCGAAUCAUUAUUUUACAGUAGGUGUGGAUUGCGGGUUGAUUUUAUGUAAACCGAGGGGCUUUCUUGAAAAACUGCCAUGAUGACGGACGACCAGGAAUUAAACCCUAUUUUCUUUAUUAUUAGGUAAAGAUUUGGUAGUUCAAGUUGUGAUCUAUCUCUACUAUUCUUGACCUCCAAGAUUUGUAUCUUAUAUAAACAGCCCUUCGAGACCCU
rnacentral:rRNA from 1 species